rnacentral:misc_RNA from 1 species
GUACCCUCAAGCUUUGCUUGGUGUUGGGCGUCUGUCCCGCCUCUGCGCGCGGACUCGCCCCAAAUUCAUUGGCAGCGGUCCUUGCCUCCUCUCGCGCAGCACAUUGCGCUUCUCGAGGGGCUACGGCUCGCGUCCAACAAGCACAUUUACCGU